rnacentral:tRNA from 1 species
GGGCGAGUGGCGAAACUGGCAGACGCAUACGCUUCAGGUGCGUACGACCGCAAGGUUUUGGGGGUUCAACUCCCCCCUCGCCCACAA